UUCCUGACAUCCCGACACUGCGCUGAG
rnacentral:piRNA from 1 species